rnacentral:lncRNA from 1 species
GGCACCGGCGCGAGCGCGCGUGGAGGCGGCACUCGGGAGGCAGCGAUCGGGGCUGCAGGCCCUCAAGGGUCCCUCAGGAGUGCGCGACUGGGGCCGGUGGCUCCCGCGCUAUUGCAGAGUGCUUCGCAUGCUGGCAUGUCCCCAUCAUGGCUGAGGGCAGAGGCAGCAGCACAGAGGAGCCUGGAGACGGGAAGACUGACGGUCCCCUGGAGUCCCUCUGGAUCCUGGACAGAAAGAGGACACUACUAGGAGCUAAUGAAAUUCUUUGUGCACAGCCUGAGGAGUUGGCUUUCUGAGCAGCCUUGGAGCUGGUGGUGCGGGACUCUGGUGUUUUUCCUGCCUUCCUGGGCUCCUAGACGUCCCAAGGAGAAAAAACCCAUGCCCAGGUUUCCAGGCCAAACGCUUAGGUAGGACAGUGCUGGGACAUUGGGAUUAAGCAGUGGUACCUCAGGCAGGUCGGGGCACUGCGUCCACUGUUGCUGUUAACCCGGGGAGCAGAUGGCGCAGCAGAGCCAGUCUAGCG